AGUCAACCAGCUGUGGUCGAACCAACAGAUUGCCUGCCCCAACAGCCAAAGUCUGUGCCUCAAUCUGCUGAGAUCUGCCUGUGCCUCCUGUGCAUCCUGUGCCACCAAAUCCUGUGUGCCUCAAAUUUUGUUCCAGUGCCUGUGGCUGCUUUGAAGAUCUUAAAAGCAUUUUGCGUUGCGUCUAAAACGGAUUACAUAACCAGUAAACGGAAAAGCGGAAGGCAGGAAGCCAGGAAGGCAGUGCGGCACGCGUGGCACGUUGCACGUUGCACGUUGCACGUUGCACGGUGGAGCUGCAGGUGGAGGAAAUCCCUAAGAAUUAGUUCAAUUACCCCAACAAUUCCUCUCGCUUCGGGGGCAUGGACUGCAGCUGGAGGCUAUGUGAUCCGAUCUUCUACAAUAAAUGCAAUUGUAAAUAAACCCAAAAGCCAGAAAAUACCAAAAUAAGAACCAAUCGAAGACACCGAUACACACAGGAAGCGCGACCGAUCGCAGCAAUCGAAAUACAAUCGAUAGCGUCUAGAAAAAUAGUUGAACAUGCCCCAGACGUAAGCCCCCCGAGAAGAACAAACAACCAGAGAUCGGAUAUAGGUUAUAGGACAGAUAUAGCAAGAUCGCGUAGGUCGCUGAGAUCGCAGAGAUAUAUGCGUUGCCCCCGCAGUUGGCAUAGGCAAAGGCAAAGGCAAAGCCCCCCCCUCCGCUGCUGUGAGCUGUGAGUAAAUAUGACCAAGAAGUACGAGUUCGAUUGGAUCAUCCCGGUGCCGCCGGAGUUGACCACUGGCUGUGUCUUCGACCGUUGGUUCGAGAACGAGAAGGAGACCAAGGAGAAUGACUUUGAGCGAGAUGCCCUCUUCAAGGUCGAUGAAUAUGGGUUCUUUUUGUACUGGAAGAGCGAGGGUCGGGAUGGCGAUGUCAUCGAGCUGUGCCAAGUGAGCGACAUUCGUGCGGGCGGCACUCCCAGGGAUCCCAAGAUACUGGAUAAGGUGACCAAAAAGAAUGGAACCAACAUACCGGAGCUGGACAAGCGAUCUCUCACUAUUUGCUCGAACACGGAUUAUAUCAAUAUAACAUAUCACCAUGUUAUCUGCCCCGAUGCGGCAACGGCCAAGAGUUGGCAAAAGAAUUUGCGUAUCAUAACGCAUAACAAUCGCGCCACAAAUGUGUGUCCGCGCACCAAUCUGAUGAAGCACUGGAUGAGACUAAGUUAUUGCGUGGAGAAGAGCGGCAAGAUACCGGUUAAGACGCUGGCCAAGACCUUCGCCUCGGGCAAGACCGAGAAGCUGGUCUACACGUGCAUCAAGGAUGCGGGUCUGCCAGACGACAAAAAUGCCACCAUGACCAUGGAUCAGUUCACUUUCGAUAAGUUCUAUGCCCUCUACCACAAGGUCUGUCCCCGUAACGACAUCGAGGAGCUCUUCACGUCCAUUACCAAGGGUAAACAGGACUUUAUCAGCCUCGAGCAGUUUAUACAGUUCAUGAACGAGAAGCAGAGGGAUCCGCGCAUGAACGAGAUCCUCUUUCCGCUCUACGAGGAGAAGCGCUGCACGGAGAUCGUCAACGACUAUGAGCUGGACGAAGAGAAGAAGAAAAGCGUUCAACUAUCCCUGGACGGAUUCAAGCGCUAUCUGAUGUCCGAUGAGAACGCACCCGUGUUUCUGGAUCGCCUGGACUUCUACAUGGAGAUGGACCAGCCACUGGCCCACUACUACAUUAAUAGCUCGCAUAACACCUACUUGUCCGGCCGACAGAUCGGCGGCAAGAGCUCCGUGGAGAUGUACCGCCAGACGCUGCUUGCCGGCUGUCGGUGUGUGGAGCUCGACUGCUGGAACGGCAAGGGGGAGGACGAGGAACCGAUUGUCACCCACGGUCACGCCUACUGCACAGAAAUCCUCUUCAAGGACUGCAUCCAGGCCAUCGCGGACUGUGCGUUCGUCUCGUCCGAGUAUCCGGUGAUCCUGUCCUUCGAGAACCAUUGCAACCGGGCUCAGCAAUACAAGCUGGCCAAAUACUGUGAUGACUUCUUCGGGGAGCUGCUCCUGAAGGAACCGCUCGCAGAUCAUCCGCUGGAUCCGGGCCUGCCCCUGCCGCCGCCGUGCAAGCUGAAGAAAAAGAUACUCAUCAAGAACAAGCGCAUGAAGCCCGACGUGGAGAAGGUUGAGCUGGAGCUCUGGCUGAAGGGCGAGCUGAAGACCGAUGACGAUCCCGAGGAGGACGCCAGUGCCGGGAAGCCGCCGGAGGCUGCGGCCGCUCCCGCACCAGUUCCCGAAGCCGCAGCCGCUGCCGAUGGUGCUGCCGAAGGGGGUGGCGGUGCCGAGGCGGAGGCAGCGGCGGCCAACUACAGUGGCUCCACCACCAAUGUACAUCCCUGGCUCUCAUCGAUGGUCAAUUACGCGCAGCCCAUUAAGUUCCAGGGCUUCGAUAAGGCAAUUGAAAAGAACAUUGCCCACAACAUGUCCUCGUUUGCGGAAUCGGCGGGCAUGAACUACCUGAAGCAGAGCUCCAUUGAUUUCGUCAAUUACAACAAGCGCCAGAUGUCGCGCAUCUACCCGAAGGGCACCAGGGCGGACUCCUCGAACUACAUGCCGCAGGUGUUCUGGAACGCCGGCUGCCAGAUGGUGUCGCUGAAUUUCCAGACCUCCGAUCUGCCCAUGCAGCUGAACCAGGGCAAGUUCGAGUACAAUGGCGGAUGCGGAUACCUGCUGAAGCCGGACUUUAUGCGGCGCGCGGACAAGGAUUUCGAUCCGUUCGCCGACGCACCCGUGGACGGUGUGAUCGCUGCCAUGUGCUCGGUGAAGGUAAUCGCCGGACAGUUCUUGUCGGACAAGAAGGUGGGCACCUACGUGGAGGUGGACAUGUUUGGCCUGCCCUCGGACACCGUGAAGAAGGAGUUCCGCACCCGUCUGGUGCCCAACAACGGAUUGAAUCCGGUCUACAACGAGGACCCGUUCGUGUUCCGCAAGGUGGUGCUGCCGGAUCUGGCCGUGCUGCGGUUCGGCGUCUAUGAGGAGAGCGGCAAGAUGAUCGGUCAGCGAAUCCUCCCGCUGGACGGACUCCAGCCGGGAUACCGCCAUGUGUCGCUGCGCACAGAGGCCAACUUCCCGAUGUCGCUUCCCAUGCUGUUUGUGAACAUCGAAUUGAAGAUUUACGUACCUGAUGGCUUUGAGGACUUCAUGGCCAUGCUGUCGGAUCCGCGCGGAUUUGCCGGCGCUGCCAAGCAGCAGAACGAGCAGAUGAAGGCACUGGGCAUCGAGGAGCAGAGCGGCGGGGCCGCCCGGGAUGCCGGCAAGGCCAAGGAGGAGGAGAAGAAGGAGCCGCCGCUGGUCUUCGAGCCGGUCACGCUGGAGUCGUUGCGCCAAGAGAAGGGCUUCCAGAAGGUGGGCAAGAAACAGAUCAAGGAGCUGGACACGCUGCGCAAGAAGCACGCCAAGGAGCGCACCUCCGUCCAGAAGACCCAGAACGCGGCCAUCGACAAGCUGAUCAAGGGCAAGAGCAAAGAUGACAUCCGCAACGAUGCAAACAUCAAGAACGCCAUCAACGACCAGACCAAGCAGUGGACCGACAUGAUCGCCCGCCACCGCAAAGAGGAGUGGGACAUGCUGCGCCAGCAUGUCCAGGACUCGCAGGAUGCCAUGAAAGCGCUCAUGCUGACCGUGCAGGCGGCUCAAAUCAAACAACUGGAGGAUCGUCAUGCCAGGGAUCUGAAGGAACUGAAUGCCAAGCAGGCCAAGACCUCAGCGGAUACCGCCAAGGAGGUACAGAACGACAAGACUCUCAAGACCAAGAACGAGAAGGAUCGUCGGCUGCGCGAGAAGCGUCAGAACAAUGUCAAGCGAUUCAUGGAGGAGAAGAAGCAAAUCGGCGUGAAGCAGGGACGCGCCAUGGAGAAGUUGAAGCUGGCGCAUUCGAAACAGGUCGAGGAAUUUAGUACCGAUGUGCAAAAGGUACUGAACGAAACGCGGCCUGAAACCGACACUAUAACCAGUAUUGAGACUGUACUUUAGACAACUAUAACUACCAUACAUGAAUAGCUAGAGAGCGAUCAACCAUAAACGAUAAACGAUAAAUGCUAAAACAUAAAUGAUAAACGAUAUACAUAAACGAUCAAAAAUAACCGAAAUAGAAAAACUGAAAACUGAAAACUAAAAACUAAAAGCAAACAAAACUGAAACUGAAACAGAAACAGAAACAGAAACAAACAGAAAAAGAUAUAAGAAAAGAAAUGCAUCCCUAUUCGUAUCGUAUUCGUAUCCGUAUCCGCAUCGAUGAGUGCUAUGAGAGAGGGAGUAUCGACUAGCGGCCCUGGGGAUGCAUCUUCCGAUAACGAAUACCGAUAACCAAUGAACCACAACCACAACCACAACCUCACCUAACCGAAUCAAAUCAAAUUUAAUCGAAUCGAACCGAAACCCAACCCAAUCCAACUUGUAUCUGAACCGUAAUCGAUCAGUAAUCAGUCGUAGUAGCUGCUAAAAUUUCAAACUAACUGCUAAGAUCUAAUGGAUAUGUACAAAAUCGAGGAGGAGGCCUAUAAGACGCAAGGAAAAACGGAAUUUUAUGCCUAAGUAGUGGCCUGGGUCACAGUCACAGGUCACAGGUCUCAGGUCACUGGGCAGGAGGAGAGCACCGACAUAUACAUACCAAAAAAAAACAACAAAAUAUAUAUAUGAUUACGUUUGAAUCGGCAUCUGAUGAAUGGAUGUCGGUGGAUGGUUGAAUCAAUGCUGAAGAUUAAGAUGGAAGAUGGAAGACGAAGUAUACAUACAUAUAUACUUAUUUAUAUAAUGUAUUUACACACACACACAUACAUAUACACACUUACACUACGCUCACACACACACACAGAGGAAAACAGGAACACACAGACACAUGCAUCUUGAAACGAUUAAUCUAACUUAUAUAUAUACAUAUAUUUAUAUACUAUAUGUAGUAUAUGCAUAUGCCUUUAAGCAUAUACUAUAUACUUAUCAACUAGAAUUCAAACUGGAAAGUCGAACACUUUGUGCUUUAUAUUUAUUUAAGAUCUUUAUGAAGAUGAAAAUGAAAUGGAAUAUGAUCAUCAGAUCGUCAGAUCAUCAGAUGAUGAUGAUAAUGGAGACGAUGAUAAAGGAUUACAUAUUACAUAUUAUAUGUAUUUUACUUAGGGGCAGUGGGGGGCCAGCCUGUAACAGCAAAUGGGGCUCCGGCUCCCCUCUCGAAUUCAAUGUAAUUUAAUUUAUUUUUUUUUUAAAUAACCAACGAAACCAAAAAAAUACCAAAAAAAAAAACCAACAAAAACUUGAUAGGUAUUUUUGUGCUAGCCACACAAUAACGGUACACCGAUAAGUUUAGACACACUCACAAUCCACAAACCACACACAGAUAGUGCCAGGGAAUAGCCAUGAGGAAUCAUGAUUUCUGAUGACUACUGGAAUGCACUGUAUACACACGACACAUACACAUACAAAUAUUCAUCUAGCAACAAAAACAAAAAGAACAACAAAAAUUCCAUUCCCAAAUGUACCCAGCCAGAAUCCCUAAACCAACCCAGCCCAACAAUCGUACGUUUCAAGAGAACUACUUACAUGAGUUUCCAAUUCUCCACCUAAUAGCUUAGCAAAAUAAUUAACCAGUAAGCCAGUAUCCAGUAUCCAGUAACCAGUGUAAAACCAGUAAACCCCUCUCCCCCUUAAAAAACCAACCUACCCAGUAACCACAGAGUAAAUCGGUAAAUCAGUAAAGGCCCCACAAAGAAGUGAGGCGCAAGGAAAAAAGAAAGAAAUGAAGAUUCUAUAGAAAUACGAGUUCAGGAGAUACUGUUCUAGGACAGUGAAGCAGUGUUUUUUUUUUUUUGUCGUGCAGUGUAUGAGGGAAAAGGUAAAUCUAAAGCAUUUAUUUUCAACAAAGAGAUAUAGCAGAGGUGCAGACAAUUGCUAUUUUUCGAAAUGAAAAGAAAGAGUAAAAGAAGAACCUCUCUCCUUCAGCACGUCGUAGUCGUCUCGAACUCGGAACUCGAACUCUGGAUUGAAAAAUAGUUGGUUAAGUAAAUGUUAUAAAAACCUAAGUACUACAUACAUAUGUAAACAAACAAAAAUAUGUAUGUAAUUCAAACAAUGAAACACCCCUACCGGAUGAUAUACUAUAUACACACACACACACAUUCACACACACAAUCUAUAUAUAUAUAUAUGUAUAAGGGCUGAAGAAAACUAGAAACUUGUUGAACUUUACAUCAAAUGUAAACUAUUUUGUUGUUGAUUUAUUUUUUCGCUCUUUUUUGAAUUCCCUUUAGAUUUGAUUUCUGUUUCUCUAAACAAAGAAGAACUUUAGGAAGAAAAGUAGCCAAAACAUAUAGAUACAUACACACACCACACCAUACACACACAAACACACAUAUAUAUAUACAUAGAUAUAUAGAUGAUAUACACUAUAUAUAGAAAAUAAAUACGAAAACUAAUAGAAACAAACUACGAAGAAAAACCAGUAAGGGACGAAAAUUGCGUUGGUCAGACCGUUUAUGUUGCACCCGAAUUUUGCAGUUUGCAUGUGUAUUGUAGUUUUUGCAAAGAUACAAAAAAAUAUAUAAAAUACUACCACAAGAAAAUACAUAUAACAGAUAAGAGAACAUGAACCCACAUGAAAUCCACAUACAAUGAAUAUUACAUUACUACGUGUUUAUUUCCCCAUUGAAUCGAAACUUGAAAUGUGAAUGUGCCCCCAGAUGAUAGGCGAUAGAUUAUAGAUGAGGAGUAGGUGAAGGAGGAGGAGGAAAGAAGUUUACACUGUGCUAUUAACGAAACGAAACCAUUUAGUUAACUCAUAUUACAAGGUUAUUGUACGAAAACUAUGUAUUGUAUGUAUGUAUAUUUAACCUACGUCUACGACUACGACUACAAGUGUAUUUAGAGAAUUGAUCAAGUUUUAUGAAUGUGAUAAGCGGUUACAUGUUAUUACACGAAACGAAACGAUCCAUAAAAGAAGCAAACGAAACCUUAGAAAAUGUGAAAGAAGGGAUAGACCCAAGCCUAGCCUGCGGCCCAGGUUCCUUUUCAAUUUGUUCGGCCUUACCCAACACUAACACACUCCCUACUAUCCCACCCCCUACCCAGCACCAUCCCAGCUGGAAAAAACUUGAAAAGAAAUCUUUCUCUCACUCACUCCCCCCAUCUAUACGUCCCGCGUGCACUGCGUGCCCCACGCGCCGACCCUAAUCCUCAUUCCCCUCCAUAUCCAUCCCCGACAGACGCAGUUUGUGCUUUCGUUGAGAAAAUCGAGCAUUGGAGGAGGAAAAAUGUGUGGAGGAAAACCGAACGAAUGUAAAGCUUUGUAUGAUAUGUAAUAUAAUGUGCCAAUCCCAAUGUUAACCAAAAACAAAAAAAAAAACAAACAAACAAAAACGAAAUGAAAUGAACAUCCUCCAACUGAAAUUGCAAACUAAUUGAUUUAUUUGUACUUAUACAUUAGAUAGAGGCCUAGCCUCUUAGUCGAAACACGUGAGAUGUCCUCUAAUCCUGGCACACACACACAAAGAUACUUCUAUAUACCCACACCCAACACACACACACACAUGCAUGUGCAUAUAGUCCAGGCAGUUGGUUGGGAGAGAAGAGCUUUGUCGUUUAGGAUUCGGGAUACACAUGGGUACACAGUACGUACCAAACGCGUUGCGGGUGAAUGUUGUUUUGCUAGCCAAGACACACACCGCUUAUCCCAUGUAGGCCGUCAGGUGUCGCCACCGUUAUGCAUAGAAUGGAUGUAGAUAUCCAAGUCACAUGCAUUAUCUACAUGCAUAUAUGUAUACAGACACAACUACAACGGACAUUUAAAAUCUGAAUAGCUUCGCUAUAUAGAAGAUCCGAUUAGUAUAAAGGCCGUUGCAAAUAAUCUUUACGACUUAAGCGUGCCCAAUUGAUUUUUUCGUUCUCUUUAAAUUCGUACUCGCAAUCUUCGUAUAUUUGGGCCCAUUUCUUUCUUAUUUUUCGCGUUUAAAGCCAUAUGAAAACCACUUGUGGGCCUAUGUUCUUUGGGUUUUUACUUGUUGACCAAUUAUAAUCUAGCAUAGACUAUAUAGGAUACAUAUGUAUGUAUAUUCACUUGGUCUUAAGAGCACCUACCUAUUGAUAAGCCGCUUAUCAAUAUUGGAAUAUCGCUUUCUCUAUCCAAUCCAAUUGGAAGAUGCAUAAAUGAAUGUCUCAAAAUAAGGCCAUGAUCAUUUCUCUGCUUCUAAGCUUAUGUAGUACGCGGUGAAGAGAGCUCUCUAACAAGAGCCAAAGUUACACAGAAAGUAUUUGCAAGUUUUAGCAAGUGGUGAGAUCAAUCUGAAAUUGGAAUACUCCAUUACAAAUAUUUUACAAAUCGAUUCCAGACAUUCAAUUGCCGUCUUUCGUUGCUAUUACAACAAAUACAACACAACAAUUAUUCCAUAAUUCAUAUUCCAUAAUUAUGGGUUCAGUCUUUAAGAUUUCAAGUGAAUUUAAAGUGGAGAAAUGACUACUCCAUGUGAACCGGUUAGAGCGGAGAAGAAGAGCGAAGACCCUUUAAACCCAACUAACAUAAACCAAACUGUAUAAAUAUUAUUGUGACUACAUAAUGCUAGAUCUAUAGUUUAACGAGAUCCGAAUGAAAAGCAAAAGAAGUAGCAGAAGCAAAAGAAAAAGGAUGGUGGAUGGAGUAGUAGAAGUAGUUGAACAAGGAGCAAAGAAAUUAUAUUAACUUAUAUUAAAACAAUGCUGCGUAUGAACUUAUGAUUAUAUACUAUGAACUAUAUAUUACACUAUUAUGAUUACCAUUAUUAUAACUACUAUGAUUAUGAUUAUCGACUAUCGAUUACCGAUUAUCAAGAGAGCGAGCAACUUCGAUUGCAAUCCAUUCUACACGUACUUCAAAUAGUAUGGCAGAAACGAUUCCUAACCACACUCACCACCGCAACAACUCGUAAUACGAGUACGAGUAUAUGAUGCUAGGACGGGACGCGAUAUGAUUUCGAUUGAUUUGUGUUCGAUUCGGUUCAUCCUGUCUGUCUGUCGAUCUAUUUUUUGUCAAUUGUCAUUUUGGGCUUGAUGAUACGAAGCCAACACGAAGCUCCCUCUACUAGGGCAAUUAUUUUCGAUUUACUUAGUUGUAAGCGUCAGCCCACGAUUCGUCUCCCCCUCCGCAACACCCGCGAGCAUUCAGAAUACACACGAAAAUACUUGCCUCCAAAUUAUAGACGUUCAAUUUGAGUUCUGUUCUCCAUUCAGCACGAUGUAAAAAACUACGAGUGCUCGUACAUAGAUAUUUCAGCGGUAUCGAACAGCACACGCCCCACACCAUACCACACUUUUUCGUUGAUAAGCAAUUGAUCCCCGAGCAAAACGAAGAAAUAUCUGCGCUACUAAAUAUAUGAAAUGUAGAACUUGUUCUUUAGAGCAAGACGAACAAUCUGGCGGAAAAGAAAUACCAAAUGUAAUAAAAUAUAGAUGUUAAAAUACACACACACACACAUACACAGGCUAUGCAUUA